rnacentral:rRNA from 2 species
GAGACAGGUGCUGCAUGGCUGUCGUCAGCUCGUGUUGUGAAAUGUUGGGUUAAGUCCCGCAACGAGCGCAACCCUUAUCCUUUGUUGCCAGCGGUCCGGCCGGGAACUCAAAGGAGACUGCCAGUGAUAAACUGGAGGAAGGUGGGGAUGACGUCAAGUCAUCAUGGCCCUUACGACCAGGGCUACACACGUGCUACAAUGGCGCAUACAAAGAGAAGCGACCUCGCGAGAGCAAGCGGACCUCAUAAAGUGCGUCGUAGUCCGGAUUGGAGUCUGCAACUCGACUCCAUGAAGUCGGAAUCGCUAGUAAUCGUGGAUCAGAAUGCCACGGUGAAUACGUUCCCGGGCCUUGUACACACCGCCCGUCACACCAUGGGAGUGGGUUGCAAAAGAAGUAGGUAGCUUAACCUUCGGGAGGGCGCUUACCACUUUGUGAUUCAUGACUGGGGUGAAGUCGUAACAAGGUAACCGUAGGGGAACCUGCGGUUGGAUCAC